AAUUUAUUAGUUCUUAAUAUGUGAUUUCAUGAACAAUAACUUAAUCUUUAUACACAAUAAAAUAUUAUAACAAGCAAUUACGAAAAACACAAUGCAAUUGUCUUGUCUUCUCAAAUAAAAACAAAGUUAAGGACUUAAUAAUAAUUUCUUAAUGGCUAAAAGAAUAAAAACUAAUAGGAAGUCUCUAAUUAGCCAAAUUUAGCACUAAUAAGCCCUUGAAUAGACCCAAUUAAGCCCACAACAGUCACAAGAAAGCAAACAAAGCUAAAAGUCCUAAGAACAAUCCAUUUUCUUGUCCAAGCCCUAAUUUUCUUCUGCAAUAAAUACAUUUCCACAGGAAAAUAUAUAGCCAAAGGCCAAAAGUUCAAGGCCCCAAGAACUCCUAAAACUUGGUUGAAGUAAGGGAAGGCCAUUGCAAUAGCAGUUGUUGAAGCAACAUAGGCUGUUCUAAAACAUAGCCUCAAAAGAUUGAUUUGAAGAGGAGGAAACAAUGGGAGCUUUAAAGGGUAGAAUCUAUUCACAAACCGGCUUCUUGGAUAUUUCUUAGCGGACCAACCUUCCACAAAUGCAAACACUGGCUGACUAAAUAUCUGAUAUCCUCCCACCAGAUGAAGAAUAAUGCAAGCAUUUGCAAAAUCAAUGAGCCAAUAAGGUUCAAAAAACCCAAAUCCUGUCAAGAGAUUUCCAGGAGUUUUGUUGCCAAAGGCUGCAUAUCCAAAGCAUCCACAGCACAGGUAAAAGAAAGUUGUAAUAAAUACUGCAAUCAUUGAGGCCUUCUUCAUGGUCUUGUUCUCUGGUGGAUGUGAUUUCAGUGUAUCCUGAAUCUCAAGAAGAAUAAGUGAGUAUGGAUAGGCAAAAGCAAUAUCCCCUAGUGCUUGAAAGGCUAACCAUAGUUUAUCAGCAACAUUAGCAGCUGGGACUCCAUUGAUACUUCCCUUAAUCCUCCCAUUCUCUAUUACUUUUGCAAAGCCAAGACUAAACCCUAUAAAAGAAUAGGUGAAGGACAUUAUUGCUGCAAUUGCUGAGAGCCAUUCCAUGUCAUGUAAAUGUGGUAUUUGUGAUGCUACUAUUUGAAUCAAUCCAAAAAUAACCAUGAACAUUGUAUUCCCAUAUUUACAUGCAGCUUCCUGCCCUUCUCUGUGGUAGCAAUUCGACCUUUGAAUUGCUCUCAUGCUGGUUGAAGUAGUAAUAACAUAAGCAACAGCAGUUCCAUACAUGCUCAAGUAUUGAAGCAAACCACAAAACCAUGUAUGUAUCCUACCUGAACUAUCACUACACCAAAUUAGGAACUAUAUGCAGAAAACUAGACAAAGGGUAUUGAAAAAAUUAGUCUGAUAUAACCUAGAUUUACUCUAACAGCAUCCAUGUAAGUGUAGUUUCGUGAUCCUGUUACAGGGUCGGGAGACCUGUAACAAUCUGACAGGAGGAACGCAGAAACGUACGUCACAAUUGCGAAGCAGAGCAAGACAACUGGCCCUGCAAUCCAUCCUAAUUGAGCUGUGCUCCAAGCCAAAGAUAGAACUCCAGAGCCAAUAACAGCUGUAAUUAUAUGUGCGGUGCAACUCCACAAAGUUCCAGUUCUUAGUGGACGCCCAUCAUCAUCACAGGAAGAAUUUUCCAGUUCAAGAGGGUGCUGGACUGCCAUGGUUAUUGUUCAAUUCACACCAGGCAUUCAAAUGAACUGAAAUCUAAGAGCUCUAACUCCUCCGACUAUAUCCAAACACAACGCCUUGAUCCCUCACCCUCUCUCCACCGCUGCCUACCCCUCUAGAAAUGAAAUGAGCCGACUACUGCAGUGAGUGACGAGAACCAAACCAGCGAUAGCUUAUGAGGCGAAGAUUUCUUCAGCUUGGAAGGAGGUCGAGGUGCUUCCUGCGGAAUGAAAUAUUUGAACAAAAAAGUCUGCAGAGAAUGCAGACCAAGUAUGAAAAUUAAUAUUGAAUAUACACAUGAAUAAAGCAGGGCAUUUGGAUUAGGCAGAAAACCAGGGGAUGAGACAAAUUCUUUGACCUCUGCUGCUGCUG
rnacentral:misc_RNA from 1 species